ACCGAAUACUAUCUUGUAACGCAACGAUGAUGCACCAUUUCCCUACCCUCCUCUUGCUCUUUAAGAAGACUUUCUCCCUCGCCCUCUUCACACACUAAGAAAGGUUAGAGAGAGAGAGACACAGAAAGUUGGGAAAACAGAGAGCGAGCAGAGGGAAAAGAGUAAUUGUAACUCAGGUGUGAAAGAUAUCGUAGGAAGUGAGCGAAAGACUACGUCGACCCGGCCUCCAUCCCCACCUCUCAUUGACAUGGCAGAACUCAAGCUCUGGUCUUUCUACCGAGCACUCAUCGCCGAGUUCAUCGCAACCCUCCUCUUCCUCUACAUCACCGUAGCCACCGUCAUCGGCUACAAGAAGUCCGAUCCCUGUAACAGCGUCGGCCUUCUCGAUGUGGCUUGGGCUUUGGAGGCAUAAUCUUCGUCCUUGUCUACUGCACCGCCGGUGUCUCUGGGCACAAACAAAGUUGCAGGCAUGAUAAUAGAAAUGCCCAAAGGCAAGGACGUGAUAAGGUUGAGUCACAAAGCAUUUGAACGGAUGAAAAACCUUAGAGUGCUUAUCAUUCGUAAUGCAAGUUUUUCAAGUGGACCUAAUUAUCUCUCCAAUGAAUUAAGAGUACUUGAUUGGAUUGAAUAUCCGCUACAAUCCUUGCCACCCAAUUUCCAUGGAAAUAAACUCAUUAUCUUUAAAAUGCGUGAUAGCUUCAUCAGGGAGUUAAGCUUCAUCAAGUUUAAGGUAUCUACAAUUAUAAUCUUCAAUAACUUUGUUUCUUUAAUCUAUGUGCUAAACUCCUUUCAUUUUUUUUUACAGAAUAUGACAAUUAUGGAAUUCUGUAAUUGUAAUUUCUUAACAAAAUUUCUAGAUGUUUCAAGCAUCCAAAAUUUGAAGAAAUUGAUGGCCAUAAAUUGUAAAAAUUUAGUUGAGGUGCAUAAUUCCAUUGGAUCCUUGGAGAAUCUUUGUCACUUGAGUUUUUGGGGAUGCUCUAACUUUCACAGCUUUCCUGAAAUUGGGUGUGAAAUGAAAUCUUUAACUACAUUAUCUCUAACGCAAACUACAGUGGAAGAACUAUCAUUAUCAAUUAGCAAUCUUACUAGACUUGAGGAAUUACAACUAACUUGGUGCAAAAACCUUAAGCGUCUCCCAAUUAACAUUAUUCAUUGGUUGCAACAUUUAAAAAGUCUUGGGAUAUUUGGUGAUAAUCUAGAAAAAAAAAAGAUGGGGUAUGAUGGACAAUCCAUUCUAGCUAUUGGGUCUACAGCAAUUGAAGAACAGAUUUCAUCGAAAGAAGAACAACUCCCGGAAUUGGCGCCUCCAACGAAUUCAAGCAAUGGAAGCAGUGCAUUACAAGUGUUGAAUCAUCAGAAUUGUUUACAAUCAGAAUCAAAUUCCUUUCCAAUAUCAUGUUUCUUUAACAUGUUUUAUUCUUCAGACAGAUUGACUCAGUUAGAUCUAUCGGAAAGUAAAAUUGUUAGCCUUCCUACAAGCAUAAGAGGAUUUGUUGCACUUAAGAGAGCUCUACUUGUUGUAUUGCGAGAAACUUGAAGAAAUCGUAGAGCUUCCACCAAAUAUAUAAUUGGUAGAUGUUUGGGGAUGCAGGUUAUUAGAAAGAUUUCCUGAAGGAUCAAGAAUAAUGGAAUUCAAUGGAAGCCACAUCAGCUCACUAUAUCAUAUUAACUUGAAUGGCUGCGACAAAAUGGAUGAGAAGACUUGGAAUUAUAAAGUGCCAAAUUUGAUUACUGUGGAAGGUAUAUAUGUGUCUCAACCUCUCCCUCUCUCUCUUUGAAUUCGAUAUAGGAUGCAUGACUUUAAAAUAAAUGAUGAUGAUGAUAUUGUUUUAACAGGGACAUUAUAAUGCCGCUAUGUUUCUGGAAAAUGAGAUUCCAAAGUGGUUACAGUAUCAUAAAGAAUUUUUAGAAAAUGAAAUUGCUGAGAGAGGGGCUGAUGAUGUCCAAUUGAAAGGAAAUGAAGAAUGGGUAAUAAAUAUUGAGAGGCCACACCAUUUGGAGGAAAUAAGCGGAAUUGCAAUAUAUCUCGUUACAUUUUUUAACGAAGAUCUUAGGCAUGAUAAUUUUGAUCCUGAUGUUGAAAUAACGGUAUCCGCUCAAAUUGUGUAUGCCAUAUUGAUAGUGAAGAAUGUCUACUUUUCUCUAAUGAACUUCCAGCUUCUUCUGAUACUGAUGAACCGGAUUAUGACAAAGGCGUAGACCAAUAUCGAGUAUGGAUGUGGUACUCUGAUUUAGAAUCAUUUGAGGUAAAGGUUUUGGACAAUUUGAGGGUUCAACUUUGUAUUCCUCCCAAUCCUAGGGAUCCUCUUUGGGAACAUCUUUGGUCACGAUAUUAUUAUAUAAGUUGGGGAGCCAAUGAUUGAAUUAAAUCAUAGCCCAAGUGAAAUUUCAAGGGAGAUUUUGGUUUGUUCUCUUUGGUCUUAUAUUUGCCAUUCAUUUAUUAGCUCAAUGAUUUUACCACUCAUUUAUUUUUGCAUUUUCAAGAAUGGAUAAACCUGUCUUUAUUUCUUUUGUAGAUUUUGAUAACCUGUCUUUUCUUUUCUAAAAUGAUCAUUUUCAAGAAUGCCAAGUCGAUGCUAAUCAUUUAUGAAAAUUCUGUGGUAACCAUUAAAAGCUCAAAUCGUGUAUGCCAACUCGAUACUAAUCAAGGGGUAUAUUUGUCUAAUAGUUAGGUAACGAAUAAAUGAUUUAGAAUCAUUUGAGCUAAAGGUAUCUUCAACUUCCUGGUGAUGGUGCUCUUUUGCGGAUGCCAUAUUAUAGGAGUUGGGGAGCCAAUAUUGUAUACAAGCAUGAAAGUAGAGCACAUAAAAGAAGAAAAUUGGAUUGAAUUAAAUGAUAGGUCAAGUGGACUUUUGCUACUAUUCCUUUGGAAUUUCAGCCUGCAUUUUACGAGAAUUUCGGUCUAACAGUCAUGGAGGCACACCUUUGCAACAGAUCAAGGAGGCCCAGUAGAAAUUAUUGUUGGUGGAAUCUCAGGCUUUCACAUUGACCCCUGAAAUGGUGAUGAAUUGAGCCACAAGAUUGCUGAUUUCUUUUAAAUGUGCAAGGGGGAUCCUGAAAACUGGAACAAGAUCUCCAAAGCUAGUCUUUGGCAUAUAAAUGAAUGGUAAGUAAUUUCACGACGGGAUAUAGAGAACUAACCGUGAGAAUUUCGUUUGACAGUUGGUUGUUCUUACGCAUUGCAGCUACACAUGAAAGAGUUGUGCAAACAAGCUGCUGAACAUAGAAGCAGUGCAUGGAUUUUGGAGGCAGAUGAACUAGGAACAAAAGUUAGCUAAACAAAAACAUAUCGACAUGUUCUACAAUCUCCUGUUUAGGAAUUUCAGAAUGAUGUAACUCUACACAGUACACAAUUUCACUUUCAAAUUCAAAUCUUACCUCUACACGGAAUUAUUUGCUUUCAUUUUCGCUGGGUUCUCUCCUCUCCUCUCAAUCUCAGGCCGAAUGAACCUCUCAUAGUCGCAGGCCGAGAACAAACCUCCUGGCGUCGUCGAAGGGCGAACGAACCUCUCUCGACGUUGUUGAAGGGCAUGCAGACCUCUCCCGGCGUUGUCGAACGGCGAAGUCAAACGCACCAGACAGGCCGAACGAACUCCUCCACUCCCAGCGUGAGAACAACGGCGUCAUCGAAGGUGAUCAAAUGGAGGAGGCAUCACCAACUCCUGAUUCAUUUUGGAGCAAGAUAUCCGCCUUUAGGACGAUGGAUUGGGAAGCAUACAAGAAGAAGCCGAUCUCACAUUAGAUUAUUCUAUUUCUAGGCACUGCAGCAAUGAGGGUAUACUCCUCACAAGCAUUGCAGCCGUUAUAUUAUUAGAUGAACCCAUGAGAGGUUUCAAAAUUCUCUCUCUGAUGGUUACCUUCUGGGGAUUUGGCUCAUAUAUAUAUAUGGCAGUUUGUCGUUUGGUAAGGAUCCAUCAUGACAAUGGUUCUUGAAUUCCCUUCUAGUCAUUGUUUUCUUUGUUGAAGAUUCAUUGGGGUUAAUUUAUACAAUAUUGUUGGGCAAUUCUAGACCCAACUUAUGAGGGAAUUAUUUGUAAUUGGAGAGAAGUGUACUAGCAGUACCUUUGCAAUAUAAUUAGUUUUCUUCAA